rfam:Brachypodium distachyon strain Bd21 chromosome 1, whole genome shotgun sequence.
UUACCACUCCCUCCGUCCAACAAAAGAUGUAUCAAGUUUGUCAAAAUUUGGAUGUAUAUCUAGACAUGACUUAGUGUAUAGAUGCAUUCAAAUUUAGUUAAAGUUCAGACAUCCUUCGUUGGACGGAAGGAAUAUUUC